rnacentral:rRNA from 1 species
UACGUAGGGCGCAAGCGUUAUCCGGAAUUAUUGGGCGUAAAGAGCUCGUAGGCGGUUUGUCGCGUCUGCCGUGAAAGUCCGGGGCUCAACUCCGGAUCUGCGGUGGGUACGGGCAGACUAGAGUGCGGUAGGGGAGAUUGGAAUUCCUGGUGUAGCGGUGGAAUGCGCAGAUAUCAGGAGGAACACCGAUGGCGAAGGCAGAUCUCUGGGCCGUAACUGACGCUGAGGAGCGAAAGCGUGGAGAGCGAACAGG